ACGCGAUCCCAGGUCAGGCGGGAACACCCGC
rnacentral:rRNA from 1 species